UACAGAGGGGGCAAGCGUUGUUCGGAAUUACUGGGCGUAAAGGGCGCGUAGGCGGCCCGCUAAGUCGAACGUGAAAUCCCCGAGCUCAACUCGGGAACUGCGUCCGAUACUGGCGGGCUUGAAUCCGGGAGAGGGAUGCGGAAUUCCAGGUGUAGCGGUGAAAUGCGUAGAUAUCGGAAGGAACACCAGUGGCGAAAGCGGCUUCCUGGUCCAGCACCGACGUCAGGCACGAAAGCGUGGGGAGCAAACAGG
rnacentral:rRNA from 1 species